GCUAUCCCCGAUAGGUGAGGACGCCUGGAAUGACCCCUCACCCAAAGGACGUUGAAACCAUGCUUUUCAGCGUUGCCUAAGGAUGGAGCCGCGGCCGAUCAGGUUGUUGGUGGGGCAAAGGCUCACCAAGCCUAUAACCGGUACGGGCCAUGAGAGUGGGAGCCCGGAGAUGGGCACUGAGACAAGGGCCCAGGCCCUACGGGGCGCAGCAGUUGCGAAACCUCCACAAUGCACGAAAGUGUGAUGGGGCUAACCCGAGUGCCGUCCGCUGAGGAUGGCUUUUCUCCGCUGUAAGGAGGCGGAGGAAUAAGGAGAGGGCAAGACUGGUGUCAGCCGCCGCGGUAAUACCAGCUCUCCGAGUGGUAGGGACGAUUAUUGGGCUUAAAGCGUUCGUAGCCGGCCUGGAAAGUCUCUCGUCAAAUCCAGCGACCCAAUCGCUGGGCCGCGGGAGAUACUACUAGGCUUGGGAGCGGGAGAGGCCGACGGUAUUCCCGGGGUAGGAGUGAAAUCCUGUAAUCCCGGGAGGACCACCAGUGGCGAAGGCUGUCGGCUAGAACGCGUCCGACGGUGAGGGACGAAAGCUGGGGGAGCGAACCGGAUUAGAUACCCGGGUAGUCCCAGCUGUAAACGAUGCGGGCUAGGUGUCGGUGUGGCUACGAGCCACUCCGGUGCCGCGGGGAAGCUCUUAAGCCCGCCGCCUGGGAAGUACGGUCGCAAGGCUGAAACUUAAGGAUUGGCGGGGAGCACACAGGGUAACUG
rnacentral:rRNA from 1 species